GCCGGUGUAGGAUCUAGGAUACCGACUAGAGGGAGGUGAAUAGACGGUUUCAACUAAAAUCACAACACUAAAUAAUUUUAAUUAGUAACACAAGAGAAAUUUUAUUUCUACCCUUUCCAGAACUAGGUGAGGGUUUGCAACCUAGGGUGACAAGAUACAAUUCAAUCUCUAGAAAUGUAAUUACUCAAAGUAAAUUGCAAUAAUGAAAUUGAGCAAGGAACUAACCGAAGAUAAGAGAUGAAUUUUUCCCGUGGUGUCGAUGACUUGCCGGUCACCUCUAAUCCACAUUGAGGUGGAUUCAAUGUUUCAACCGCUCCUCUAUCAAUGAU
rnacentral:lncRNA from 1 species